rnacentral:rRNA from 1 species
CACAUGCAAGUCGAACGAAGCACCUUUUGAGAUUCUUCGGAUGAUCGAUCGGUGACUGAGGGGCGGACGGGUGAGUAACGCGUGGGUAACCUGCCCUGUACAGGGGGAUAACAGCUGGAAACGGCUGCUAAUACCGCAUAAGCGCACGAGGAGACAUCUCCUAGUGUGAAAAACUCCGGUGGUACAGGAUGGGCCCGCGUCUGAUUAGCUGGUUGGCAGGGUAACGGCCUACCAAGGCAACGAUCAGUAGCCGGUCUGAGAGGAUGAACGGCCACAUUGGAACUGAGACACGGUCCAAACUCCUACGGGAGGCAGCAGUGGGGAAUAUUGCACAAUGGGGGAAACCCUGAUGCAGCAACGCCGCGUGAGUGAAGAAGUAUUUCGGUAUGUAAAGCUCUAUCAGCAGGGAAGAUAAUGACGGUACCUGACUAAGAAGCUCCGGCUAAAUACGUGCCAGCAGCCGCGGUAAUACGUAUGGAGCAAGCGUUAUCCGGAUUUACUGGGUGUAAAGGGUGCGUAGGUGGCAGUGCAAGUCAGAUGUGAAAGGCCGGGGCUCAACCCCGGAGCUGCAUUUGAAACUGCUCGGCUAGAGUACAGGAGAGGCAGGCGGAAUUCCUAGUGUAGCGGUGAAAUGCGUAGAUAUUAGGAGGAACACCAGUG